CAGAGCUGAUGUCCUUACCUAUAAAACGGUCCUGAUGUGUCUUUGAAGAGGAUUCUGUACCUGCAGAUCUGUCCCUGAAAAAGCUCUGUGCCAGUGCUGAGUGGUGAAACCAAGAAUACGAAAACGGAUUUUCUUCUAAGGACGUUUAGAAGAAGUCUUUCCUGCAAAGGCCGCAAAGCAGAAUGCUAGUGCAAUCCUGAUCCUGUCUCAGCUGCACAACCGGAUGUCAGUGCUGUUUGGACUUAGCCAUCCUGACUCCAUAUUUUCUUGUUGGGGCCCCUGAUCCUGACUACCUAGCUGUCCAACUAACUCCUAACAAAGCAAGAGGGAAAGCCUACAGAGAAAUUCCAGGAAGAAUGCUUACUUCCCCGGGAAAAAGGCUGGCUUCCUUCCAUCAAAUCUCAGCUUCAUGUCCUUCAAGGAAAGAGAGGCCUGUCUUGACCAGAUCUACCAUCACUCUGUCACAGCAUCUUCAGUAUUUUUCUUCAUUACACAUCAUCACAAUUGAGAGAAACAUGGCAAGAGAGGGAACAAAA